UAACACAUGCAAGUCGAACGGUAACUUUUGGUGCUUGCACCGAAAGACGAGUGGCGAACGGGUGCGUAACGCGUAUGCAAUCUGCCUUUUACUAGGGUAUAGCCCAGAGAAAUUUGGAUUAAUCCCCUAUAAUAUCAUUUAAUCGCAUGAUUUUAUGAUUAAAGCUUCGGCGGUAAAAGAUGAGCAUGCGUCCUAUUAGUUAGUAGGUGAGGUAACGGCUCACCUAGACUCCGAUAGGUAGGGGUCCUGAGAGGGAGAUCCCCCACACUGGUACUGAGACACGGACCAGACUCCUACGGGAGGCAGCAGUGAGGAAUAUUGGACAAUGGACGAAAGUCUGAUCCAGCUAUGCCGCGUGCAGGAUGACGGCCCUAUGGGUUGUAAACUGCUUUUAUACAGGAAGAAAAACUCCGACGUGUCGGAACUUGACGGUACUGUAAGAAUAAGGAUCGG
rnacentral:rRNA from 1 species